GACAAACGCUGGCGGCGUGCUUAACACAUGCAAGUCGAACGGUACUCCUACGGGAGUAUAGUGGCGGACGGGUGAGUAACACGUAGCUAAUCUACCCUGAUGUGGGGAAUAACCCCUCGAAAGAGGAGCUAAGACCGCAUAAGUUCUCUCUUGUUAGAGAGAGAAGAAACUUUAGGCAGUGAAAAGACCAGAGGCGUUAGGAUGAGGCUGCGGCGGAUUAGCUAGAUGGUGGGGAAAGACCUACCAUGGCGACGAUCCGUAGCUGGUCUGAGAGGACGACCAGCCACACUGGGACUGAGACACGGCCCAGACUCCUACGGGAGGCAGCAGUGAGGAAUAUUCCACAAUGGGCGCAAGCCUGAUGGAGCGACGCCG
rnacentral:rRNA from 1 species